UUGUACUAUGUUAGGUCGACUGCACUCAAAAUUUUCUAGAUUGGUUAUUGAUUUUUGUGCUUGCGGCACUAUCUCUGUUAUGCUUACAACACUAUCUUGAAGAAUAAUAGUAUGAUAUACAAGAAAAUAUCUAUAAAUCUCGUGUGUGAAUGCACAUAUAGCGUUCAAACUGGAGAAAUAAGCAGAAAAAGUUAAGGAAAUGGAUCGUAAACUUGUUGGUCUUCUUUGUUUUAUCGUGUUGAUUUUAAACUUUUUAGUAAUCGGGGCAGAAAAAUCAACGACCAUAACUUCUCAAGUGCAUGUAGCUCUACGGUCCCGGAAGAUCCUCCAUUAUCCGAGGUACGGUCCCGGAAGAGACUUUGGCCUCUCAAGCGUUCCUCCUCCUGAUUUUAUUCUUUAUGGUCAUUGAUUUUAAGUAUUAGAUCAGAUCUUGUAAUGUAAUAUCUGAUGUUUAUUUGAUUUUAUUACAGAUUAUUAUUCAACGUGUAUUAAAAUGUAUAGUUUAUGGAGACCAUCAUACGUAUUGUACGCUUUUGCCUUUUAUUGAAUAAUGGAGGAAGGGGUAAAUCAGAUAAAAAAAACCAUUCAAAUGCUAUAAUUU